UUCCAUAAUUUUUUUUUAUUAUUAUUUUUACAUAAUAGUGUGUUAUGUAGUUUUGUGUGUGUGUGUUAGAAAGAGAAAAUCUAUUGUGUCGUAUUUGUACUAUAUCAAUAAUAAUAAGUCUAUUAUAUAUAUUUUUAAAAAAUAUAAUAAAAAUAUUUUUUUAUAUUAAUAAUGCGACAAAUUAAUUUUAAAAAAUUAUUUAAUUAAUUAAAAAUAUUAUGUUAUUAAUAUAACUAAUGCAUUUUAAAUUUUUUUAU
rnacentral:lncRNA from 1 species